rnacentral:rRNA from 1 species
UAACGCGUGGGUAACCUGCCUUNUACAGGGGGAUAACAGUUAGAAAUGACUGCUAAUACCGCAUAAGCGCACAGGAUUGCAUGAUCUGGUGUGAAAAACUCCGGUGGUAUAAGAUGGACCCGCGUCUGAUUAGCUGGUUGGUGAGGUAACGGCCCACCAAGGCGACGAUCAGUAGCCGACCUGAGAGGGUGACCGGCCACAUUGGGACUGAGACACGGCCCAAACUCCUACGGGAGGCAGCAGUGGGGAAUAUUGCACAAUGGGGGAAACCCUGAUGCAGCGACGCCGCGUGAGCGAAGAAGUAUUUCGGUAUGUAAAGCUCUAUCANNNNGGAAGAAAAAAAUGACGGUACCUGACUAAGAAGCCCCGGCUAACUACGUGCCAGCAGCCGCGGUAAUACGUAGGGGGCAAGCGUUAUCCGGAUUUACUGGGUGUAAAGGGAGCGCAGGCGGUGCGGCAAGUCUGAUGUGAAAGCCCGGGGCUCAACCCCGGGACUGCAUUGGAAACUGUCGUACUUGAGUAUCGGAGAGGUAAGUGGAAUUCCUAGUGUAGCGGUGAAAUGCGUAGAUAUUAGGAGGAACACCAGUGGCGAAGGCGGCUUACUGGACGAUAACUGACGCUGAGGCUCGAAAGCGUGGGGAGCAAACAGGAUUAGAUACCCUGGUAGUCCACGCCGUANACGAUGNAUACUAGGUGU